AACGAACGCUGGCGGCAUGCCUAACACAUGCAAGUCGAACGAGACCUUCGGGUCUAGUGGCGCACGGGUGCGUACCGCGUGGGAACCUGCACUUAGGUUCGGUAUAACUCACCGAGAGGGGUGCUAAUACCGGAUAAUGUCUUCGGACCAAAGAUUUCUCGCCUUUGGAUGGGCGCGCGUUGGAUUAGCUAGUUGGUAGGGUAAAAGCCUACCAAGGGGACGAUCCAUAGCUGGUCUGAUAGGAUGCCCAGCCACACUGGGCCUGCGACACGGCCUAGUCCCGGACGGGGAGCAGCAGUAUGGUAUAUUGGGCACGGAACCCAAGCCCGAUCCAGCAACGCCGCGGGUGUGAGCAAUGGGUUAGUGUUGCAAAUCCCUUUUUCCCGGGAUGAUAAUGACAGUACUGGGUGAAUAAGCUCCGGCUAACUCCGUG
rnacentral:rRNA from 1 species